AUGGAACGAGUGGCGGACGGGUGAGUAACACGUGGGUAACCUGCCCUUAAGUGGGGGAUAACAUUUGGAAACAGAUGCUAAUACCGCAUAGAUCCAAGAACCGCAUGGUUCUUGGCUGAAAGAUGGCGUAAGCUAUCGCUUUUGGAUGGACCCGCGGCGUAUUAGCUAGUUGGUGAGGUAAUGGCUCACCAAGGCGAUGAUACGUAGCCGAACUGAGAGGUUGAUCGGCCACAUUGGGACUGAGACACGGCCCAAACUCCUACGGGAGGCAGCAGUAGGGAAUCUUCCACAAUGGACGCAAGUCUGAUGGAGCAACGCCGCGUGAGUGAAGAAGGCUUUCGGGUCGUAAAACUCUGUUGUUGGAGAAGAAUGGUCGGCAGAGUAACUGUUGUCGGCGUGACGGUAUCCAACCAGAAAGCCACGGCUAACUACGUGCCAGCAGCCGCGGUAAUACGUAGGUGGCAAGCGUUAUCCGGAUUUAUUGGGCGUAAAGCGAGCGCAGGCGGUUUUUUAAGUCUGAUGUGAAAGCCCUCGGCUUAACCGAGGAAGCGCAUCGGAAACUGGGAAACUUGAGUGCAGAAGAGGACAGUGGAACUCCAUGUGUAGCGGUGAAAUGCGUAGAUAUAUGGAAGAACACCAGUGGCGAAGGCGGCUGUCUGGUCUGUAACUGACGCUGAGGCUCGAAAGCAUGGGUAGCGAACAGGAUUAGAUACCCUGGUAGUCCAUGCCGUAAACGAUGAAUGCUAGGUGUUGGAGGGUUUCCGCCCUUCAGUGCCGCAGCUAACGCAUUAAGCAUUCCGCCUGGGGAGUACGACCGCAAGGUUGAAACUCAAAGGAAUUGACGGGGGCCCGCACAAGCGGUGGAGCAUGUGGUUUAAUUCGAAGCAACGCGAAGAACCUUACCAGGUCUUGACAUCUUUUGAUCACCUGAGAGAUCAGGUUUCCCCUUCGGGGGCAAAAUGACAGGUUGGUGCAUGNGUUGUCGUCANGCUCGUGUCCUGGAGAUGUUGGGGUUAAGUCCCCGCAACCAAGCGCAACCCUUUAUGACUAGUUUGCCAGCAUUUAGUUUGGGCACUCCUAGUAAGAACUGGCCGGUGACAAAACCGGGAAGAAAGGUGGGGGAUGAACGUCCAAAUCAUCC
rnacentral:rRNA from 2 species